GACGAACGCUGGCGGCGUGCUUAACACAUGCAAGUCGAACGGUGAAGGGAUCAGCUUGCUGGUUCUGGAUGAGUGGCGAACGGGUGAGUAACACGUGAGUAACCUGCCCCCUUCUUCUGGAUAACCGCAUGAAAGUGUGGCUAAUACGGGAUAUUCUGCGCCUGCUGCAUGGUGGGUGUGGGAAAGAUAUUGUUUCGGUGGGGGAUGGGCUCGCGGCCUAUCAGCUUGUUGGUGGGGUGAUGGCCUACCAAGGCGGUGACGGGUAGCCGGCCUGAGAGGGUGGACGGUCACACUGGGACUGAGACACGGCCCAGACUCCUACAGGAGGCAGCAGUGGGGAAUAGUGCACAAUGGGCGCAAGCCUGAUGCAGCGACGCAGCGUGAGGGAUGGAGGCCUUCGGGUUGUGAACCUCUUUAGCCAGUGAAGCAGGCCUGUCCCUUGUGGGUGGGUUGACGGUAGCUGGAUAAGAAGCGCCGGCUAACUACGU
rnacentral:rRNA from 1 species